rnacentral:lncRNA from 1 species
GGCAGGGCUUGAAAAUGACUUACAUGUCAGAUGAGCCAGUGAAUAUAUUUCAUAGGUUAGGCAUGCUCCUAAAGCAGCCUGGACAGAGGCUCUUCAGCAUCUUGAAACUAAAAUAGAAACCCCUUCAGCUAAAAUGCUGGAUGUAACUAAGAAAGCUAAUGGAUCUGGAGACACAGUCUGAAAUAGAGAUUCUCAAAAUGAGAGUGCAGGAUCUAGAGCUCAUGCUUGAAGAUCAAAUCAACUGUGAGUGCCUCAAUAACUUUUGGUUUGGCGUGCACAGCAGUGUGUGUGUGUGUGUGUGUGUGUGUGUGUGUGUGUGUUCUGUCAGAUGCAGGGGGAGAGGAAUGCUUUCUUAGUAACAUUAAUCCCAGAACUCACCUCAUUCUGAAAGAUAUUGAGAGAGUGUUGGACGUGUCUUAUAAGGCCAAAUAGUGGUCUUGUGUAAGGGACACAGCACUUUCAGAACACUUAACCCACCACUGUUUAAGGGAAUGGCAAAACAUGACAGCAUUGACAAAAUUUGAUUUCCUUUUAUCUGCUUUAUAAGCAAACAUAAUAUAAACUGUUGCCCUCCAGGGACUCGGACUUCACACUGGAAAGAUUUUCUUAAGUCAUGACUGGGAAUCAGCUUUUCUCCUCUUGGUUGCUUUAAUACAGUGUUGUGCUUGUAUGUUUAUGAACUGUUGUUCCUGCAGUGCCCGUGUUAUGUUUACUUGUUUUAUUAAAAAUUAAAAACAACACAUUUAAUAAUAAUAAUAAUAAUUAACACUUAUCUGAAUUUUGCAAUGCCAUUCUCUGGUCAAGCAAUGUGUACAAAAAUGGAUAUAAAUGCAUAUUUUAGCUAAACUAACAUAUAAAGACACAUUAUUAUAUUAAUAAAAAUGGGUUUACCAAAAUGUGUGCAUUGUGAGAAAAUACAUGUGUAUUUUAGAAUAAAUCUACACCCAAAUGUUGAUGAAUUUCUAAAGAUUUCUUUUUAAAAGGAUGUAAACUGAUGUGAAAAAGUGGAGCACAGAAUUUAAGAUUGGAGAAAUGAGAAAAUGAGAGAAAUGCAGAUUGAGAAAUUUAGAUUGAGGUGGGAGAACCAACUGAUUAUGCAGUCAUUUGAUAGCAAGUUAUCAAGUGCCAUAACAGAUAACAGAAAAUUAAAUGUAUGUAUUCAUUAGGUCUCUCAGGAUUUAUAUACAAUACCAGAAAUUAUGGAGUAUAGAUUUAGUUUAGCUAAUAAAAGCAUCAUGUAAAAGACGAAGAACUUAACUGUUCCAUUUCUAACUGGGGGACCAGAUGUAUGUUUGAUGUAUUUAUGAGAUGUUGGGCUCUGUCAAACAUGCAUGCCCUCAAUAGCUUCAGAUCAAAUUUGUGAAAAGACUCCACUGGGGGGGGGGGGGAUGAGUUGGAUCCAGACCUGCAGAACAAUGCUAACUAUGCCUACUCAAAAGAAGUCCUAUUGAAUGCAAUGGAGUGUACUCCUUGGUAAAUGGAGUUAGAAUUGCAAACUAUAUUAAACAUACUUUAGUCCCAUUGUUUUAAUUAGUCUGAGAUUAUAUGGAAGUUGUACAGUGGUACCUUGGGUUACAAACACUUCGGGUUACAGACUCCGCUAAACCGGAAGUAGUACCUUGGGUUAAGAACUUUAACAAAGGAUGAGAACAGAAAUCAUGUGGCGGCAGCAGGAGGCCCCAUUAGCUAAAGUGGUACCUCAGGUUAAGAAUGGUUUCAGGCUAAGAACAGACCUCCGGAAUGAAUUAAGUUCAUAACCAGAGGUACCACUGUAUCUAUGAUUCAGGUAGGUAGCCGUGUUGGUCUGACGCAGUAGAAAUAUAUAAAUCCUAUCCCGUGCUUUUUCCUGUAGGACUAAUUGCAGUCAUUAACAGUCGUCAACAGGUUUACCAUGCCCAUUGAGUCAAUCACCCAUCUCCUAUUACCCUCCUGAGAAAAACCCCACCCCACCCUCCCACUAUAUAUAAAGGUCUGGUGACUUCUGUUUUAGUGUAUCUGAAGAAGUGUGCAUGCACACAAAAGUUUAUACCCAGAACAUACUUAGUUGGUCUCUAAGGUGCUACUGGACAACUUGUAUCUAUGAUGUUUAGCUGAUGUUGCAGUAAGCAUUCACACAUAUAUUAACCAACCCUGAGUUCCAUGGAGUACUGUGUCCAGUUUGGGGCACCACAGAUUAAGAUGGGUGUGAACAAACUGGGACAUUUCUGGAAAGGGUGACAGAAACAGUGAGGGCUCUGCAGAUCAAGAUUUCUGAAGAGUGAAGGAAUUGUGCAUUUUUCACCUGGAGAAGAGAUGAUUAAGUCAUCGUCUAAUAUUCGAAUGUCUGCAUUUAUGACUGAGCAGAUUUGUUUUAUGUUGCUCCAGAACGUAGGACAUAAAGUAAUGGGUUCAAAUUACCAGGAAAAAAAUAUUGAAAUUAAGAAGUAUUAAAAAGAAAAUCAUGAUGGUGAGCACUUUGACAGUGGAACAGAAUGUCUUGUAAGUUGUACUUUCCUUUAUUGGAAGUUUUUAAGCAGACGUCAGAUGGCCAGCAAUCAGAAAUGCCAUAGUGGUGGAAAUCCAACGUCAGCUGGGCUGAAAGGUGGAUUAGAUUGCUACUGAAGUUACUUCUAUUUCACAGUGCAAACCUGUGAGUGCCUACUUAGAAGUCUGCCCUUUUGAGUUCAGUUAGGUUUACUUCUAGGUAAGUGAGUAUAGAAUUUCAGCUUCCGUCUCAUUGAAAAAAGUAGGACUUAGUGAAAUAGUUACGACUGGCUUGUAAUCUUGACUUCAAAGACACUGGGCUAUGAUUUAAUUAGCUGUCUCUGGUUCAGUGCCUGGGAGUUUACCCAUUUCCCCCCAUUGCCACUUGUUUACUAUUAUAACUAACUUUUCUUAGAACAGUGCCUUUCCUAUGAUCCCCCGAGGGGCAAGGAAGCCCGACUGCCAGCUUUACCAGUUAAAUUCAUGCCAAUAGCCCAUUCUUGCAGAUUUGGGAAUGAUUAUGUGUUUCUUUCAAAUGCCUUAAAAAGGUGCUUGUAUUGGUGCUGUGGUGACAUGCAAGUGUAUGUUUUACAUUUAUAUGAAUAACUCAUGAUGAAACAAUUGUAUCUGAUUAAUUUUUCAUUAGUUGACAGUUCUAAUUAAAAAGAAAAUAUACAUUUUCAAUCCAUGCUCAGGAGGCAGCCACUGUUGGAAACAGGGUCUGACCUUUUUGACUACUUAAAUAUUUAUGGCUGUACAGUGAAUUUCUGCUUAUAAAAGAUGGAUUUAGUGCAUACAAGGACCUGGACAUGUCCUCAGGCAUGUUGCCUACAAAGGAAAUAUUUCACUCCCACCCUGCACUUGCCAGCACACUGAUAGAAAUCAUUUUGAUAAAGUUAGCUUGUUUCUUUAGUUUGUUUUUCAAAAGUCAGGCCAAUCUGAAUCCUUUUUAUCUUCUGUUUUAUUCACAUACCUCACUCUAGUUAAAAUACUCAAAAGGUAACUAUUCGGCAGACCCUCAAGUAUGAUGAAAUCCUACUUGCAUCAAAAAGUCCACCACGUGAUAAAAAAACUUCAUUGCAAAAUGGGGAGUAACCUCUUCUUCUGAGACUUGGGGCUAGAAGAUGAAGCGAGAGGAAUAAGCAGAGCUGCUUCCAAGCAGGUCAAGUUGGGUGAGGCAAAGUCUUGGCAAAAUCAAGUGAGGCAAAGUCAAGACAAAGCUUUUUAAGGAGUUCAGGACCAUGGUCAGAUCCCUAAAGGCCCUGCUAGCUGAACUGUGAAUGAUCUCAGCCAAAACCUGGGGCCAUCUGAGGCUUUAUAUAUGCUGGCAAGGGCUAUACUAUUGUUGGCCUCCUAGUUGCUAGCUUUGAUGACUUAAAGGAUCUUUCUCUGAUUUUACAGGCACUGGCAGCUACCAGGAGGAAACUGGGGGAGGUACAGUAGUUCUCCUAGUUGAGCAGACUGCAUUUUCUCCUCGUUUAUAUCUUCUGCAGGGUAGUGCUAAGUUUCAGUGGGCAUGACUGGCAGUGUUACUUAAAUGUUCACCUCAAGUCUACUAUCAAAGGCUAGUCUUUCGAACUGCUUUUGUGAAUUUUUCAAAAUGGUUUCAUAGCCUUAUCAUGGAUGUGAUGAAAUUGACUCUGCCAGUCCACAAAGGUUAGAUAUUGACAAUACCAAUAUCUUUUAGUCCUGAAGGUGCCUCAAAAAUUCCUUAUUGUUUCAUCAGUCACUAUAUCAGUUCAUUCAAAAUUGGUUUAUUAAUCCCUUGCCUAAAUGGUGGUGGUGAUGACGAUAACAACAAUUGCUUAAUAUUAAAACAAACAAAAUAUAUAAGUUCUAUUUAUCCCCAUAUACACAUAUGAUUGAAAGGUUCACACAGUCACUAUCCACGGUUUUUCCAGUAUGUGAAAGAGUUGUAUGCAUGUACCAAAGUGUGUGCAACCAUUCAAAGAGGGACCUAGACCAAUCAAGGCCAUCUUCUAGCAUAGAGGACCUCUAUGUAUAUACAUCAGCACAUAAAAGAACCCUUUUCAUGCUGGCCAAACAUGCAUUGGUGAGGAGGCAUUUCUCCUGCAGGCACUAGUGCACACACAUCUUCACCUGGCCUGUGCAGGCCCCUCACACAUUUCUACACAUGGGAGCAGUUGUGUGCAGCAUAUGCACUCUUAUGUCAUAGGCCUGAGCCCCAAGUUAAGGACUUUGCAACAUUCCUGUUUCUGGGUAAAAAUGUGCAAAAUUCUUUUGAGAAAUCCCACACCUCUUACAUAGAAACUUCCAUGUCUGCCUCAAAGGCUUGCUUUAUGUGAGAUAGCAGAGAAACUCUAGCAUACACCUUUCAAAAUGAUUUGGCACACUCUUACAAAGCCCUGCAUGAUUUCAGACAACUCAGGCUAGCUGUCCUUUCCUGGGAAUGCACUAUUGUUUAAUGUACCUUUAUUCAGAACAAUCCUAUUCUAUAAAUUAUGUAUAAAUGAAUGUCUCAACUGAAUGGACACAACCUGCUUGAGUUUCAUGUCCAGACACCUGCAUUUAUCCACAGAAGUGUUGGGAUAUUUGGUGAUAAGGGUCUAUAAAUGAUGGUUCCAUUGUACAAGCUGUCAGUCAGCUGAGUUGUGAUUAACCCAUAGAGUUAAGAGUAUGUUUUCCUGUCAUGUACUAAUAAAGUCAUUUGUCACUUUUUAUUUUGUACCUCAGUAGGCACAAAAGAGCAACUUCCCCCUUCCUGUUUAAUUGCACACCUACCGUUAUUCCAUCUGACAGCCAACCUAAAAGAAGAGCAAGCAAAUUUUGUGGCCAGGUAGGUUUUGCUAAUUAGGCCAUGCUAUGGAUGUUUAAGUAUAGGGAAUCACAGAAGGGCUAAGUUUAAUCCACAGUGGUCCUAGCAGAGCAGACCUUGAAGCAGAUGCAGCUGUAAUGUAGAGCCUGGCUAUAUAUACAAUUGAUUGUUUAGUAUGUUUGGGAUGGUAGCAUGUAGAUAUGUUUGUCUAUAAGUUGGUCUAUAAGGUGCUACUGGACAAUAUUUUAUUUUUUAUAUACAUAUUCCAUAGUCACCAGCAUUCCAUGCUUCUUCAGAAAAAAACCCAAACAUAAAUAAAUAAAUACAAACAAACAUAAAUAAAUCAAGCCAAUGGCCCAUCUAAUCCAGUAUCAUGCACAGAAGUGGCCAGCCAGAUGCCUGUGGAAAUCUACAAGUAGAACGGGAGCACAAAAGCACUCUCCCCUCUUGAGGUUUCCAACAACUGGUACUCAGAAGCAUCAAAGCCUCCAACCAGACUUGCUGCAUCUUGUGCCUCUCAGGAUACUUCAGGAGACCAUCUCCUUCCCUCCUUCCAGCCUUCCUUCCAACCCCUCCUGAAAAUUCACCCUUUCCAUGAUUUUAUUUGUUAAAUUUAUAUAUACCAGCUUUCAUAUGUGUAUCACAGGGCAGUUUAGAGUAAAGCCUUUUGAAUUGCUCACUCAUCCCCACAGCCAUACUGCAACCUUCCCCGACCAACCUUCAGAGGUUUUGAGUCACAAAUCCCAUCCGUUCCAGCCACCAUGGCCUAUCAUUGGGAUUGAUGGGAACCCAAAGCCAGAAGCCUCUGGAGGGCACUGGUGAGCAAAGGCUCCCUACCUGUAUUUAAUUCUAAAUCCACAUAGCUGAAAUAACUGAAUAUGUUUACACUGUUCCUUCUUCCUCUGUUGCUUUCCUUUUGACUAUUUUUAGUCUUGUGGGGGAGUGACCUGUUCUUUCCUCCUCUUCUCUGCCAUUCCUUACCAGUGAUAAUAUACAGAAGUGUCUAGGGCAUAAGAAUGAAGACUCCAUCACCACUACCUGCUGCUGACUCCCCACCAUGGAUGUAAGAAUUAGAAAGAGGAGGGGUUUAUAAUCACCAUUAGCAAUCUUAUUCUGAACUAAAUCAAUUCUUUGGACCGACCCUGAUGCAUUUGUAUAGGGACAGGGGGGAAAUCUCUGAAUUUUAGUUUCAGGUCCCCCCCCCCAUUCUUUCCCACUUGCUGCCCUCUGAUGUGAAGCUGCCCUAUGCCAAAGGGAAAAUUGUGGGGGGGCCCUCCCUCACCUGGUUGGUAGUGAGAAAGACAAAGGCCAGAAUAGUGAGAAAGAGCUGGCUAGAAGCAGGUAGAAGCCUGAGAAAGAGAGACAUGCAUGAUUUCUUUUCAAACCCCAAGGAAGCAAGACCUUCUGGUGUGAGCCCCUCCACCGUAGGCUCAGGUUGUAUGUAUGUGUAAACCUGAUAUCAUAAAGGCACUACAGUCUCUGCUGUCCCUCAUUCCAAGGAAACUGAGAGGCACAAAUACAAGAUGGGUGACACCUGGCUUGAGAGCAGUACAUGUGAAAAGGAUCUAGGAGUCUUGGUUGACCACAAACUUGACAUGAGCCAACAGUGUGGCGCGGCAGCUAAAAAAGCCAAUGCAAUUCUGGGCUGCAUCAAUAGGAGUAUAGCAUCUAGAUCAAGGGAAGUAAUAGUGCCACUGUAUUCUGCUCUGGUCAGACCUCACCUGGAGUACUGUGUCCAGUUCUGGGCACCACAGUUCAAGAAGGACACUGACAAACUGGAACGUGUCCAGAGGAGGGCAACCAAAAUGGUCAAGGCCUGGAAACGAUGCCUUAUGAGGAACGGCUAAGGAGCUGGGCAUGAUUAGCCGGGACGAGAGGAGGUUAAGGGGUGAUAUGAUAGCCAUGUUCUAAUAUAUAAAAGGAUGACACAUAGAGGAGGGAGAAAGGUUGUUUUCUGCUGCUCCAGAGAAGCGGACAUGGAGUAAUGGAUCCAAACUACAAGAAAGAAGAUUCCACCUAAACAUUAGGAAGAACUUCCUGACAGUAAGAGCUGUUCAGCAGUGGAAUUUGCUGCCAAGGAGUGUGGUGGAGUCUCCUUCUUUGGAGGUCUUUAAGCAGAGGCUUGACAACCAUAUGUCAGGAGUGCUCUGAUGGUGUUUCCUGCUUGGCAGGGGGUUGGACUCGAUGGCCCUUGUGGUCUCUUCCAACUCUAUGAUUCUAUGAUUCUAUGAGUAAGCCCCUGGAACCCCUGGAAUCUCACACCUCUCAGACAUUUCUGGAAGAGGAAUGAAUAGUGUUGUGGGGGCAUCACCCCAGAUGCUAUGAGUAACUGCCACUUCUCAGGAUAGAGAGGGGGAGGUGAGGGACGUGGUACAAAUGUGCCACCCUCCUCAUUAGAUUGGCUCUCCCAGCAAGGUACAAGUGUGUGGACCUCACCACUGCCCCUCCCCUCCCUCAAUUCUUCCUGAUACGUUGCCAUGACUAAGGUAAACAGAAAUCAGGUGAGCAGUACAACCUUACCACAAUAACUACUGUGGUAUCAGCUAUGCAAAUGCAUUUAAUGCACAAUUUUCCCUAAUAUAUGCAUUUUAUAGGUAUGCGUAUUUGGUUGGAGUACUGUAUAGUCAAAUUUCUAGAAAGGUGAAUUUAGGAGGAUAGCUCUGUUUUGGUUCACACAGUGUUUUGGAAAGUGUGAAUUAGGCAGGCAGGCUCUCAUUUGAAUAUGAACUGUACCAAAUUGCUUCCCCAUCCCUAAAUUUGUAUUCCAUGCCCAUUUGUUUCUGAGAUGUGGUGCGUCAUGAUCUUAUAUAUAAAUUACUAUAGCUUGAUACUCUUUCUUCUACAGAAGUGUUUGACAAAUGUAAUUUUCUUCCCUGUUCCAUAUCUCUGCUAUAUCUUGUUUCUCCACAAAUUCUUUUGCCCGAGCUUUCAGUCUAUGCAACUUGUUUGAAUUUAUUCCCCCCUCCCUUGCUCUCUUUCUUUCUCUCUCUGAUAAGUGAAUUAAAAUGACAGUAAGAAAACCAAAAGCUCAAGAGGUGAAAGAAAGAGGCAAAUGAAAUGGCUUUAUUUCCCAGACACCAUAAAUCAGAGCCUCCCUACUUAUAAUGUAGCAAGAUGAUCAACCGAUUCCUUCAUGCAUCCUGGGCUUAUUUGUCUUUUCCAAACCAUGGUACUUCACUUCCUCAGAACAUACAUUGAAUAAAAUACAGUGUAAAAUUCAGCUAGGUAAGGCUGAGAGUCAGGGACUGGUCCAAGGUCACCCAUUGAAUGGGAUUUUGAACCUUGGUCUCCCAUGUCCUAGUCCAAUACAUAGUGGCCUUUUCACAGAAUGACAGCUAUCCAUCUAACACCUGGUCAUGCUGAAGUACAUUGAUUUCCAUGUGUUGGAUUGUGGUUACAAUUUUUCAGGGCAUAAAGACUGGGGCAAGUCUGUUUCCCCUUCAAUUCCUUGUUGGAAGGACUGGCCCUACUAUUAGAUAAAACGAGACAAAUACCUCUGCCAGGAAAUUCUGGGAUGGUAGUGACAGCACAGUGCUGAGAGACAGAGCUUUGUGGAACAUGUGACCUGCUCUGGGCCCCCAGAAUUUGCCUGCUACAUUCAGGUUCAGUGGAGGGUGCUGUCUUAUGAGGGUCCUGUCUUAUUACCAGUGCUGAAGUAGAAUUCAACUGCCAGUGCAAACAGGUUUUGUACAGGGAUCUGUGGUGUGUGUAUGAGCAUGCACACACACGUUUGUGCAUGUGUGCACACCCUGUCCUGGGCUGGGAUUCAACUUAUAACCAAUGUUAUGUAUACAUCAGCCCUGGCACAGUCCUCAAGCCCUGCACCUCAGGAUAGCCACAUUGACAGCCUCCCCUUAAAUCUGACCAGGGACCCCAUUUUCAAGCACAGCACUGUUGAAAUCAUAAUUCAGCAAAACAUCACAAAUCUAAUGAUGCUUCUCACAUGAUUGUAUCAUAAAAUUAUGCAUAAACUCACAUAUGUUCUUCAACUUUAAAAGGCUUUAAGAAUAUGGGCAGGAUGGUGAUUCAUUGCCUCGUAUCCUUACACCAGCAUCCUCUCCCUGGUUGUAAUAAGUGCCCAAGGCCUCAGUUUUUGAGAACAGAACUGCAAGGCUUCACUCUCCCUUACAUGUGCAAAAUCCACAGAGAAAUAAUGCCACUCUGAUGAGCAACAUCAUAAACCAUAAUGACAAAAAAAAAGUACUAGAAAGGACUGUUCAAACAGCCAGUAGCAGAUGUUGGAGAAAUAAGCCUUAUGGAUUUAUGGUCAGUUAAGUCUGACAGAUGGAGAUGAGAGAUUAAUCCUUUUCUUCCCUGGCAGACUCAAUCCCUUUUCCCUAGCCCCUCAUAAUUGCCUUUCAUCAAUGGUCUUAGCAUUUCAACCAUUUCAUGUGAUAGUUCUAAACUUUAGUUAACAUUAAACAGCAACAUGAUUUUGCCUCAGGUAAUUAAGAGCAGGUUGAUAUGCCAACUUGAGCAGGUAAUAUCUGGGAAAGCUGGUGUCAUGUUCUAGGAUACAGAUUCAGUGUAACUUUUUGCAUAGCCUAUGGGGAGCUGAUGCUUGCUCCAGACCUUGCGAGUGAGUAAGUGCUAACAAGGCUUAAAUGAGGAUGGACUAGCAUCCUAACAACUGCAACUAUCAGACGCAAAUAAUAUUGUGAGUCCAAGGCGGAUUCUGAUUAGUGGUUUUUUUAAUUGAUGCCCAUCUCCCCAACAAUGUGUGACAAACUUUGGAAAUGUGGAAGAGUUUCAAAAGCCGAUUGUGAUAAAGGAAAGAAAUAGUAAUCAUGGAGGACUUCAACUUCCCCGAUAUUUGUUGGGACUCAAACUCUGCCAAGUGUAUAGUCUGACAAAUUCCUCCAAUGCAUAGCUGAAACAUUGCUAUACAGUGGUACCUCGGGUUAAGUACUUAAUUCGUUCCGGAGGUCCGUUCUUAACCUGAAACUGUUCUUAACCUAAAGCACCACUUUAGCUAAUGGGGCCUCCCGCUGCCGCUGCACCACCACUGCACGAUUUCUGUUCUCAUUCUGAAGCAAAGUUCUUAACCUGAAGCACUAUUUCUGGGUUAGCGGAGUCUGUAGCCUGAAGCGUAUGUAACCUGAGGUACCACUGUACUGUAUAUAAAAUACUUUGCAUUUGUAGAGUGCUUUCAAGUCCUUCAGAUUUAUUUAUCAUUUAUUGGAUUUAUAUGCCAUCUUUUCCCCCAAGGCACCCAAUUUUUAAAUACAUUAUAUACAGUUUAAAGGGAUGGUGUGCUCUCACGACAAAUGAAACCCAGUGGUAUGUAUGUUCCCUGACUUGGCUCCCCCACUUGAGGCCUUCCCUUGAGGCAGUCCCAAGGAAGGUGGGAGAGGAAUUGCCCCAGUACCCCUCAGGCCUCUCUUGGUUGAUGGUUUUGUCAGAUGCUGAUGGUACUGUGCACCCUGAACUGGGCUCCUCACUUCUCCUUACACAUUCCUGUGAGUUUGUAUUCCCCCAGUUGCAAUAGCAGAUCAUGUCCUGCUUGCACUCAUGUGCUGCUUGUAGGCUUUCCAUAGGCAUGUGGCUGACCACAGCAGAAAUGGAGUGCUGUUUAUUUGGUCAGAAUAAGCAGUGCUGCUUUUUAUGUUUCUGUGAAUGAGUGCAGUGGAUUAUAUUACUUCUGCCAAGCCUUCUGGCAGAGGGUGUUUACAGAAACAGGCUAUAUUAUGGGUCAACAUGUGGAAUGCACCCCAAUAUUAGGACUGUUGACUAUUUUUAGAGAUAGGCAAUCUGAUCUUUGCUAUAAAGAACUAAUUACUUUUCUUUUAGUAGCGGCAUGCCUACUCAUGGAAUUGGAAAUGAUUGGAACACCCGUGUAUCUCACGCUGGAAACAGAAUGUAUGCUCUGUUACUGUAUCAGAAAAAAUAAUCAAGAGAUUGCUUGCAUUGAAUAAUAUAAAUGAUGUUGAAAAUAUGACAUCAUUUUGUAAAAAAUACUUUACUGAUAAUCCUGAAGAAUGGCAAACUUAACUCAACUGCUUUGUCCUGGAGGGGCAGAGGGGGACGAGGGGAAUUUUGUUUUUGUAUCCUCUCUUUUUUUGGAUUUAUUUAUUGGAAAUCAAUAAAACUAUAUUUAUUUAGAAAGAAAGAAAAAAGUUUUUAAAAGCCCGCAAGCCCUGCAGAGGAGCACAACUCUUGCUUUGUAAACUUAAAACUCAUCAGUUGAUAAUGCAACAAAAAAGAGCAUUGUAGAGUGAAAUUUGCUUACUUAACAAUGAGUUGAAUCCCUUCAUCCUCUCUGACUAAUAUCUACACCCACCACCUUGCUAUUUCUUGUCCAGAGGAAUUGGUGAGCUGUGUUGUUGCCUUGAUCUGCUAUAUUAUGUGAUGUGAACCAUGCAAGUGAGAUCAUCCAGGGAUGGGUGUCCAGUGAGCAUUUCUCUCUUACAAGCUGGUCUCACUUUCAAAUGCCAAAUGUUCAUGAGGCCAUACAAACAUCAUUUGUUAGAUAUAUAGCAUUGACUUCAAAGCCCUGGGAGUUGUGAGUAAGGGGUUGUCAUUAAUCUUCAGACAAAUGCUGAAAAAGGCUACUUUGGACACAACUAGAUCUUCCCCUAACAUACUUUGAAGGGACAUUGCUGUUUGAUAUGACAACUAUGUAACAGAUUAGAUUACGAUCUGGGAAACAUGGAUUCAAGUAGAACUUUUGCCAGGGAUUCAUUAUAUAGGUUUUCUUGACACAUAGUCUCUCAACCUCAGUUUCCCAAAUGCAAACUGAAGUGAAUUUGGCAUAUUAGGUUUGUAAACAAUCAGUGGUAGGAGUCUUGUUUUAUGGGGAGCAGUUGCUAUACAUUUUUAAAUGCUAUAAUGUCAUACAUUAAGAUCAUGUUGAAACAAAUUGGGCAAGGUCUUGAAAGCUCUAUUUGAAAUCACAAACACUUCCAAUUGCACAUUAAGACUUCUCUGCUAGUGGACCCAUUUCAAGCUUUUUGUGUUAAUUCACAAACUACAGAACAAAUUGCCUUAAGGACUAUCUGAUUCUUUAUGUUUCAUCUUAGUCAUUGAGAUCCUCUGCUGUGGCACUUAUUGUGGUUCCUUAUGCCCCCGAGGGUUGCUUGAUCUUCAUUAGGGAACAAGUGUUUCAUGUGGCAGGCUCCACUUUGUGGGAGCACCUUCCCAGGGAGCUUAGGCAUAAAUCAUCCUUGCCUUCUUUUAGACAUCUCCUAAAAACUGCAUUUUCCAGACAGACCUUUGUAAUGUGAUUUUUUGUUGUUGUUGUUGGCCAGCUAGUAUUCAUAGAUGUUUUAAUUGAUAUUUUUAUUGUUUUUGUUGCAAUUUAGCAUGGUGUGUAAUGCCUUUCCACAUUUUCUUUCACAAAACUGUGGCUUAUAAAUAUUUAAACAAAUAAGGGAGCAAGGGGUUGGCCCAUAGCUCAGUCAUAUUUCACAUGCUCUGGAGGCAGCAAACUAAUCUCUUGCAAGCUCCCUCUGUCUGAGAGUCACCUUCUGCCAAUCAAGACAAGCUCUGGUUGCACAGGCCCAACGAUCUGAUUCAAGUUAAGUAUAUUUUUAAAAAUUCUGCUCCAAUGUGGCAUUCAAGAACACUUCAGAGAGUCUCCUGCCCUGGAAUGCUUUUCCAAGAGAUGCAAUGGGGGUGUAAGCCUUCCUAUACAGCUGUAUUGCUCGUUUAAUCAUAUUAUUUUAAAAGUCAUGAAUGGGAAACUCUGUGGCCCUCCAGAAGUCAAUGGACCAACUCCCACCAGUGCCAGUCAAUAUGGCCAAUGAUGUGCAGUGAGUUGUAGAUGAAGAAUACAUUCCUCAUCUCUGUUUUAACUAAUGAGCAGCAUAGGAUACAGCUUUUGACGGUCAGAUCCUCAAUCCAUCUAGUCAAGUUUUGUCUGCUUCCUCUGUCCAGCAGUUCAGUAAGCAGUAGUGGCUGGUGUCCUUUGGGAUGCAGAAAGCAGGGAGACCAAUGGUAGAUGGACUCAAGGACAGACAGAGACAACUAAUUCUAGUUUUGCCCUGUCCUGCUGUGUUAUAUAUGUGCAACACUGAGUGUAGAGGAUGGAGCUGACAGUCAGCAUAGCUUCCUGGGCUGGUUAGUAAAACAACAGGUAGUUGGGUGUGAGAUGAGGGCAGACUGAGUUUUGUGGGAAAGUGUCCCAUUCUUCCUAAUAUACCAGCAUCCACUAUGUAAAAGAAACAGGAUUUUGCCAGUCCUGCUGCUUUAGGUUCUCCUAACUGGAAAUGCCAGGAAUUCAACUCGAUGCACUCUGUAUGCAAAACAUGUACUCAGUCAUUGAGCUAUGCAGCCCCUUCAUUGGUUACAGCCAUUUCUAUCUUGCAUGGGAUAUCCACUUUUUGGCAAGCACUUUUAAAUUAAGGGGUGAACAACAGAGAUGGAAAGUCACAUUGCCAUUCAGAAUAACUGAAGCAGUUAAGGAGACAGGGCUUAAGCUCAAGCAUGACUCUUUCCCCUGUGCAUUCAAGUUUGUUCCUCCAUAAUUAAGACAUGCAAAUUGGUUUGCAUAAGUUUCAGAAGCGUGUCCCACAACCUGCAUCUUUGUUUCCGCACUAUUUGUAAUGUACUGAUGCUACUAAUGUGUAUGCAUUAAACUCAGCUUUGGGCUGGCCACAUUCCAAGAGUACAUAAGCAUAGAGAACAAUUAGAGGAAGGGUUCAUAUGAAUAGCAUAGGACGUGGCUAAUAUCUCUAUUAUAACUUUCUGAGAACUAUGCAAUUAUUUUGUCUCUGCCUUUCAAGUCACCUAUGUAAAGGUCAGAAAAAUACAGGUGUUCUCUUCUUUAGUAGGCAAUUGUUCUUUACUUGACAAGAGAAGGAAUUGAUUAUUCAAUUAAGUGUGAGUAAAUAAAUGCUACAAAUUUCCCAUGAUCCCUCUUCUAUCUUCCAAAAUAUAUUCACAUGGGGUAAAGCAUCAGAAUUUUCUAAAUUGGGGAUUACCAAUGUGAUGCUAUCCAGAUUUUGCUUGAUUUCAACUCCCAUAAGCAUGGUCAAUGGUUAGGGAUACUGGAAAUUGUAGUCCAGUAACAUCUGGAGGGCUUUCCCUGCUUUAAAUGGUUCUGGAGCAUCAGGAGACUUAGUUUGGUCAGAAUCAAGUAUAUAGUUCCAGAGUUAACACUAAAUACAUUACUUCUGGUAAAUGAGCCACCAUGGCCGCUAGAGGGCCAUGAAAAUUUGUAUCCUGGCCUUUUUAGACUUGUCUAACCAUGUACUGCUCCUGCCAACCUAGCAGUUUGAAAGCACAUCAAAAGUGCAAGUAGAUAAAUAGGUACCGCUCCGGUGGGAAGGUAAACGGUGUUUCCGUGCGCUGCUCUGGUUCGCCAGACGCGGCUUAGUCAUGCUGGCCACAUGACCCGGAAGCUGUACGCCGGCUCCCUCGGCCAAUAAAGCGAGAUGAGCGCCGCAACCCCAGAUCGGUCACGAGUGGACCUAAUCGUCAGGGGUCCCUUUACCUUUACCAGUAUCCAUGUACUAUCUGAAACCAAAGGGGUGCAUUGGUUGCCAGAUGUGAAAUAUAUUGGCAUUAUUUUCAGCUCUCCUAACUACUUCCCCUUGCAUGAGAUGGACCUCUGUCCAUUGUACAGACAGAAGGAUUAUAAUCUCAGCCUCAGCUGUUUGGGGCUUUAGCUUUAACUUAAUUAUUUCUUUAUUAGAUUUAUAUAAACCCUUAGUCCCAAAGGAUCAGCAAGCAAUACAAAUGUUUCAAACAACCGUAAAACAUCCUAAAAACAAAUCUAAUACAGAUCCAGACUGGGAAAGGUAUUAGAAAGACUUAUUGGUAGAGAAAGUUCUUCAGUAGGUUCCAAACACAACAGCAGUUGCCAGAACACUAGAGGACUGAUUCCUACACUGUGUGGAAUGAAAGGACCUCCUGAAGAGAUGCUAUCUUCAGAAGCCCAUCUCCAGCAUAGUAUAGUGAACAAUUGGGCAUCUAAGGGGUGACACAAUAUUUCAAGUGCUUGGUUGGUUGCCUGCAGGCUUGCACAAAUUAAUGUAGACCCAUCUCCAGCAAGAAUUCAGAUGGCUAUUCCCAUAUUUUCUUUACCUUUAAACUGCCUUUAAAUUUGUUGAAAGACCUUUUAUCUGAGUGCUCUGCUACUGUGACAUUUAAAAAUAACUGUCAUUUAAAUAAAGUUCUAAUGUGUGAUCAGUCUUUUCCUAAAGGGGCAUUUUCUCAAGGUUCACAUUAACACAAAAUGCAAGGAUCUUCUCAACUGAGCACUGCUAAAAUAUUUAAUGUUUUUCAAGAGAUGCCUCCCCCCCCCCCAGGUGAAAUUGCUCCUGGAAGUAUUUUAUACUAAAAAUGCCACUUUGGUUGAGUGAUAGUAGUCUGGCACUAGCAUUCUUCAUUCUGCACCUCCUGAAAGAAGAAAUGAUUUUAAAAGCAGUGUCAUAUAGAGAAUAUCACAGUUUUCCAUUCAUUAAAGAGAACAGAACACAAGCGGUAGUUCCUAAUUUAACUAUGGGUGAAUAUGGUGCUAGUUUACCACUGAGGGUAUAUCUGUGGUGAGAGGUGAGUGGAGGGUGGGAAUUAAAGGUGGACAUUUGGUAGGCUGGAUGUCAGGAGCUCUGUUGAUGAGACAAAUCUGGGGAUAUGGAUGCAUGGUAGGUGAAGUGGGAUUGUGUCUCCUGGCCCUGCUCCUGAUUUGCACAUAUUCACCUCAAGCUCUAAAAUCAGCUCUAGAAUUGGAGCACAUGUGACUUUCUAUAUCCUUGUUGGCAUCCAUCUGUCUCAAGAGCCAAUGGAGGGUGCCUCCGGGGGUGUAGUCAAGCCACUGGAGAAUCACUUGUAGAGGGGCUGCAGAGACUUGUAAAUCAUAACUGCUACCUCUUGCAUUGUUUUUCUGUGUUAGCAGCACUGAAGUGACCUCCCAGGGCAGUGUGUAUGGAGAUCCUGGGCUGCCCAGACAACAAGAGCCCCUCUUGGAUUCACUGAUGUUGUCCAAACAAAGACAGAGAAUUAUGUUUCGUGCCAGCUUGACUGCAAGGAUUACCAGAAGGAGGCAUACAAAGCCUUUUCUUCUCCCAAAGAUAUCCCACAAGGCAGUGGGACCAGAGUUUUCCUUCUCCUAGAUGAGCUACCUUCAUAUGUUGAUGAGCCCCAUUUUCCCCUCUCUACAGCACAUGCAAAAACCACUUUUUUGACCAUUGGACCCACCACUGGUCUCCUCUACUCAAUCUGCCAGAGCCUAUUUUCUCGUGGUUUAGCCAGCCAGUCGAAGCAAUUCCCAAGGUGUGGCCACUGUCACUGAGUGCAAAGUGGGGACCAAAGGUGGUGUGCACAAGAACUUAAAAUCCACAAUACAAUAUUAAAACAACAUUAAAACAAAAUUACACAAUUUCUUUUUUUUUUUUUAAAUAAAACUAAGAGGGGUGCAAGUAUUUGUCAAGCUCGAUAUUUUAAAAUGCUUGGGGUUUGUUUUUGUUUUGUUUUUUAAAAAUACUUUUAACUAGCCCCCAAAUGAAUACAGUGUUAGUAAUGGUUGUGUGUCUUAUGAGAGGACAUUCAAGAUCAGGGCACCACUACAGAUAAGGCCCUUCUCUUAUGCACUUGUAUAGUGAACUUUGUUCUCUUAUAUAGAUGAAACACAGAGAAGGGCCUGUUCUGAAACAACAACAACAACAACAACAACAACAACAACAGAGAAUUCCUAGUGCAUCAGUUUCACCUUGGAAACAAGGCAAAUUCAGAUUCCAGAAUCUGGGUAGAAGUUUGUAUGUAUCUUUAGUGUGGUUAGAUAAUUCUACUAGUUCAAGCAUUGCCAUAUGCCAUAAUUACUUGUCCUCAGAGAGGGAAACCUAUCUGGAAGCAUACCUCUUGCAGAAAUAUAGAACAGUAGUAAGCUUAUCUGAGAGUGUAAAGGUCAAUCUUUUCAGCUAUAGGAGUGAAGUUCACUUCCAAUUUGGAUUCAGCAAGAAGUAUCUUAUAGCUGUCUAAAGUCCAGGUAACACUGUUCCAGGGAUUUGCCAAUGGUCAAAAUAUGGCAAUUGGGACUAUUGCUUCACAGGGUCUAGCGUGAAAAGAGGAGAUGGUUAUUAGUGUACUGUUAGUAGUGUACUGCCCUUCCAGAGUCUCUACUGUGAACAGGAUUGGCCCAGGCUCAAUGGAGUGUUAUCAUAAAUCUAUUCAUUAUUUCUUUAAAGGUCUGAUCUUGCACUGUCUUCACUGAAUGAAUUGCAAGAAUGUCUGCUGAGUCAAAGAACUCAAACCCAUCUGUAGGGUUGGGGUGAUUAAGGGGAGGUGGUGCUUUAACUCAAAUCCUGCAAACCUUAUAAUUGAGAAAUAAUUGGAUGGCCAUUGUAGCUAAGCGUUACAUAACAAUUUAUCACCACAUCUACAGAGAUUGGAGGUUUAAUUACUAGAAGUAAUAGAUACUUAAACUGAUCAAUUGCAAAUUGGUAAUGAAGUUUGUUCUAAUGACAAUAAUGUUGAACUUUUCAUUAACGCUGAAUUAAAUCCUCAUGUUAGAGUGUUGGAAAUUUUAACUCCCAAUAUGCUAGCUUGUGCUUCAAAGGUUUUGAAAGAACUCUCAAAAGGGCAUGUUGAUGGACAGAGUGUCAUAGGAUGGACUGUGAAGUUAAGAGGUUAAAGAAACCUCCACAUAAGAUAAUAGAAAGGAUGAAUAAACUCUCUUAGGGUAAAUCCAUUACUUAUAGUGAGCUAAAUUUUAAUGAGUUUGUGUAAUAGUCUACUUUUUAAGUUCUAAUGUUUAAGUGCAUGAACCCUGAAGGCCAGUGCAGUUCCAGCAGAGGUGCAGCGUGUGUGUACAUACUCAAGGGAGGAUAGCUCCAGGACUUUUUCAGUACACAAUCAGUAAUGCAAUCUGUUGGAACACCAGGGUAAUUUAUGGACUAUCUUUGCUCUUGCAAGGAAAUAAGGCGGUAAUGUGGCUUUCAAGUUUUACUGUGGCUUGUGAUAAGCAUAAGGGAAGUCAGAGAAUGAGGACAAUAAUAAAAGAGACUGGAUAUACUUUCCAUCCUAUUUUUGGAUGGGAUUCCAAAUUCAGCAGCUUAAAUGGAAAUGCCUCUUUGCAAGAGUUUUUUUAAAAAAUAAAUAAAUUAUAAAUGUUAUGCUUAUAUUAGUUAGCACAAAAGUAUCCAUCAAAUAUUUCAUAUACAUUUUUCUAAUUUAAAGGUUUUUCCAGUUUGAACUGCCUUUUGAAAUCAACCUCAGUCUGGUCUUUGGGGUGCAUAAUUUAAUGUCAUCUCACCCCAUGGUCAGAUGCCUAGGACUCAGCAUCUCAUGUUGUGGGGGGGGGGGAUGGCCUUUUGAAGUCUAUUGUGUGGCCUCUUAUGCAUGGUCAAAAAAGGGGGGGGGAGGAAAUGCAUAAGGAUAAAUGAGGACAAAAUGGAAUUAAGAUUUGCAUGUGCUAAUCUAUACAUAUGUAUUUAGAAAUAAAUAAAUAAAUUGAAAUACAAUAAAUCCCAUCCUAUUGAUGAAGACUGACCAGGUCGCCUCUGUGUCUGCUUAGUAUGUUCUUCAUCUUUAAACUGGAUUUGGACUGAACAAAUAUUUGAAGACAGAAGAAAUUUUCUGAGAGAUCUUCAGAUGGGGGGGACUGUCCUAUGUAAAGCAGGACACAUAAUCACCCUUGAAGAAGAUCAGUCAAGCCUCUGGGUUGCAUUCAAUUAAUUGUACCCAGAGCAAACCCACAGAAAUGAAUGAACCCAAGUUAGUCAUGCCCAUUAGCAUCAAUGGGUCUAUUGUGAGUAGACUAGCGUUGACUAUCCUUCUUUGUCUCCAUAAUGCAACCUAUAGAGAAUACUAUUGGUGAAUUUGACUGUACCUGUUUUAUUUUGCUUUGCUGGUAAGUGACAUCAAUAAUAGAUGAGGUUUUCCAUGGAAGAGCAGCUUCCAAGACAUGAACUGAUAAUCCCUAACCACAUGCUUGGGUUUUGUAUGUCUUGCACAUGAUUCUUCCACCUCAUCGACAGCCAUCUUCAGGGCUUGAAUUAUGUCAGUGAUCUCUAGCACUUAGGUCCAGGGUGGAAUCGUGAAACAUAAAAGACACUAAUAUAGAAAAGCAAUCUCUGAACAGGCAAAGAGUGAUUUCCCUCUAACCACCGUGUAACUGCAACAUGCAUCCAUACAUGAAGGGUUGAGCUUGGUUGAAUUAAGUUAGUGUAAUUGGUUUUCUCCGCAGAUUCCCCAACUUGAAGUGGUAUCUUGAGUCUUCCUUGGGGUUGGUGUGAUGGCAGUCCAAGCUCAACCCUUCUGCAGAACCAGGAAGCAUUCUUCAGAAGGGUCAGUGGAUUCAUAAGCCACAGACGUUCAGUUAGACAUCCAAAGCUAAAUGUUUGUAUUGCAAUAAAUCUUCCAGCUGAUUACGACUUGAGUGCUGUGUUAUAAAGACGGUAGCCUGGUCUCCUGACAUCUCCAUCCCAACUCCUGAGGCAAUGGAAAUCAAAACCUGUGUCUUGCAGGAAGGACUGGAAGAUUUUUUCUCUCCUUGCUACCUGAGCCCUGGGUUUGUGAACCAGACAAAGACAUCAUGGCCCCACUAGCUUGGCAUUCACCCCACUGUGCAUGCCCAGCCCAUAAAGCAACCCUGUCACUCACUAAGCAGAUAUAGUGUAGGGAAAUGCCAGAGUGCCCUUAUCUCACGAUGCCUCACGAUUAAAUAUCCCCAAAUCUAAAGCCUUUUUUCCUGCCUAGACCAAAGGCCAGAUUAAGAAAUUACACCACUCUUAAAAUUACUCCCAACAGUGUGUAGUAGGUAAAAUAGGGAGCAAUUGGGGGCUCCCUUCAAAAUACAUACUCAGCCCGAUCAAUAGGUGACUGGCAAGCCCACAAUGCAAAAGGAGGGAGGAGGCGCAGGGCUAUAUAUACCAAGACAGGUCAAUUCUACCCCAACACAACACUUCCCUAACACUUUUGACUGGGAAGUCAUCUGCAUUGGCUGUCAUUUAUGCAUUGGUUGUCACAUUUAUAUGAGAAUACACCAAAACAUUAUCUCCCAGUGAGUUUGGUAAAAAAUUGAUGCCUCCAUUUACUGCAGAAAUACUUUCUGGAUAUCAUACCUCUACCAAAGUAAUAAGCCUCAACAUAGAUGUAAUUGGUGGACUUAUAAAUCCAGUCAUUGGGGUAUGGGAUGGUUAUGUCUCUGCAAUGUUACACUUAGUCAGCCUCUGUUACUUUUUGGAUUGCUGUGCAUGCACUUCUAAAUUCUUUCAACUGUCAUACAAGCCAUUAGUAUCACCUGGAUUUUCUUUGCAGAAUGUCAAUUACGAC